GGCUUACACUUGAUCGUUGAACUUCAGGUUAGUUAUGUUGAAAAUUUCAUGUUACUGAUGCU
rfam:Capsicum annuum cultivar Zunla-1 chromosome 3, whole genome shotgun sequence